AUGGCUCCUUUGUUCCUCUGCAUAUUUUGUCUUUCUCUUUGCCAUUUGUUUCCUUCACUUUCUUGUGUUCAGAGAUGUACUAUCAGAUUGAUUUAUUACAUUGGUCAGUUUGUUUUGAACUGUAUUCAAGUUUCUUAUUCUUUCCAUCUAUGUUGGCCUUUGUUUACUGCUAUAUUCAAUUGA